GCACCGUGCUGACAGCCUGCAGAGGAGAGAGAGAGAGGACCCGGGAGCUCUUACCUGCAGCUCCUCCGGGUCCUCCUCUCGUGAGCAUGGAGCAACCGCGGCAACGCUCCAAAUCUCGCGAGAGUGAACUCUAGCCCACUGGGCCACCAGGGAAUCCCCAACGGACCACCAGGGAUCGAAAUAUGUCCCCCCUCCUCCCAGUAAAGGUAAGAAUGG